rnacentral:rRNA from 1 species
AUUCCUGGUGUAGCGGUGGAAUGCGCAGAUAUCAGGAGGAACACCGAUGGCGAACGCAGGUCUCUGGGCUGUAACUGACGCUGAGGAGCGAAAGCAUGGGGAGCGAACAGGAUUAGAUACCCUGGUAGUCCAUGCCGUAAACGUUGGGCACUAGGUGUGGGGACCAUUCCACGGUUUCCGCGCCGUAACUAACGCAUUAAGUGCCCCGCCUGGGGAGUACGGCCGCAAGGCUAAAACUCGAAGGAAUUGACGGGGGCCCGCACAAGCGGCGGAGCAUGCGGAUUAAUUCGAUGCAACGCGAAGAACCUUACCAAGGCUUGACAUGUUCUCGAUCGCCGUAGAGA